UGGGGUAUAGCCAAGUGGUAAGGCACCGGUUUUUGAUAUCGGCAUACCCAGGUUCGAAUCCUGGUACCCCAG
rnacentral:tRNA from 1 species